rnacentral:rRNA from 1 species
CCUACGGGUGGCAGCAGUGAGGAAUAUUGGUCAAUGGACGAGAGUCUGAACCAGCCAAGUAGCGUGAAGGAUGACUGCCCUAUGGGUUGUAAACUUCUUUUAUAUGGGAAUAAAACGUUCCACGUGUGGGAUUUUGUAUGUACCAUAUGAAUAAGCAUCGGCUAACUCCGUGCCAGCAGCCGCGGUAAUACGGAGGAUCCGAGCGUUAUCCGGAUUUAUUGGGUUUAAAGGGAGCGUAGGUGGAUUGGUAAGUCAGUUGUGAAAGUUUGCGGCUCAACCGUAAAAUUGCAGUUGCAACUGGCAGUCUUGAGUACAGUAGAGGUGGGCGGAAUUCGUGGUGUAGCGGUGAAAUGCUUAGAUAUCACGAAGAACACCGAUUGCGAAGGCAGUUCACUGGACUGCAACUGACACUGAGGCUCGAAAGUGUGGGUAUCAAACAGGAUUAGAUACCCCAGUAGUC